CUACGGGAUGCUGCAGUGGGGAAUAUUGGGCAAUGGGCGCAAGCCUGACCCAGCAACGCCGCGUGAGGGAAGAAGGUUCUCGGAUUGUAAACCUCUGUCCUUGGGGACGAAGAAAGUGACGGUACCCAAGGAGGAAGCUCCGGCUAACUACGUGCCAGCAGCCGCGGUAAUACGUAGGGAGCAAGCGUUGUCCGGAAUUACUGGGCGUAAGGGGUGCGUAGGCGGCAUAUUAAGUCAGGUGUGAAAUAUCCGGGCUCAACCCGAAGGGUGCAUUUGAAACUGGUAUGCUUGAGUGUGAGAGAGGAAAGUGGAAUUCCUAGUGUAGCGGUGAAAUGCGUAGAUAUUAGGAGGAACACCAGUGGCGAAGGCGACUUUCUGGCUCAUAACUGACGCUGAGGCACGAAAGCGUGGGUAGCAAACAGGAUUAGAUACCCCCGUAGUC
rnacentral:rRNA from 1 species